AAGUUGGCNACGUUUGUUGGUCGUCACUUCUUAGAGGGACUAUUGACUAUUAGUCAAUGGAAGUUUGAGGCAAUAACAGGUCUGUGAUGCCCUUAGAUGUUCUGGGCCGCACGCGCGCUACACUGAUCAAGUCAACGAGUUUACAACCUUGGCCGGAAGGUCUGGGUAAUCUUUUGAAACUUGAUCGUGCUGGGGAUAGUCCAUUGCAAUUAUUGGACUUCAACGAGGAAUUCCUAGUAAGCGUGAGUCAUCAGCUCGCGUUGAUUACGUCCCUGCCCUUUGUACACACCGCCCGUCGCUACUACCGAUUGAAUGGCUCGGCCCGUG
rnacentral:rRNA from 1 species